rnacentral:rRNA from 1 species
GCAGGCAUGAGUAGCGAAUGACGGGUGAGAAACCCGUCCGCCGGAUGAUCAAGGGUUCCAGGGUCAAGCUAAUCUGCCCUGGGUCAGUCGGGACCUAAGGCGAGGCCGACAGGCGUAGUCGAUGGACAACGGGUUGAUAUUCCCGUACCGGCGAAGAACCGCCCCUAUCGAACCGGGGACACUAACCACCCGAACCGGGCCAUGCGGUGACCAUUGGUCGCCGCCGGCACCGGGGAGCGUGGGACCUGAACCGGGGAGGUAAGCGUAUUAACAGGUGUGACGCAGGAAGGUAGCCGAGCCGGGCGAUGGUAGACCCGGUCUAAGCGUGUAGGGCGAUCCGUUGGCAAAUCCGCGGAUCAUGAGCCUGAGACGUGACGGGACCCCCAUUCGUGGGGGGAUUCGGUGAUCCUAUGCUGCCGAGAAAAGCAUCGACGCGAGGUUCCAGCCGC